rnacentral:rRNA from 1 species
UCGUGGAUUGAUUUGUCUGGUUAAUUCCGAUAACGAACGAGACCUUAAUCUGCUAAUUAGUUGGGCAAAGUCUAACUUUGUUUUUCCAACUUCUUAGAGAGACAGCUGGCGUUUAGCCAAAGGAAGUUUGAGGCAAUAACA